CUACGGGGCGCAGCAGUAAGGAAUAUUGCGCAAUGGAGGCAACUCUGACGCAGCCAUGCCGCGUGCAGGACUGAAGGCCUUAUGGGUCGUAAACUGCUUUUAUUUAGGAAUAAACUUUCGUACGUGUACGAGACUGAAGGUACUAAAUGAAUAAGCACCGGCUAACGCCGUGCCAGCAGCCGCGGUAAUACGGAGGGUGCAAGCGUUAUCCGGAUUUAUUGGGUUUAAAGGGUGCGCAGGCGGACUAUUAAGUCAGAGGUGAAAUCCCGGAGCUCAACUUCGGAACUGCCUUUGAUACUGGUAGUCUUGAAUACGGUUGAAGUAGGCGGAAUGUAGCAUGUAGCGGUGAAAUGCAUAGAGAUGCUACAGAACACCGAUCGCGAAGGCAGCUUACUAAGCCGAUAUUGACGCUCAGGCACGAAAGUGUGGGGAGCGAACAGGAUUAGAUACCCUCGUAGUC
rnacentral:rRNA from 1 species